UAGGUGUACGGUAGCCUUAACUGCAGUCGACGGCAGCCACGGGUGCUUGGCCUGGUGGCGAGUGGCGAACGGAUGAGUAAUACAUCUGAGCAUGUCCUGUAGUGGGGGAUAGCCCGGCGAAGGCCGGAUUAAUACCGCAUACGAUCUACCGAUGAAAGCGGGAGACCUUCGGGCCUCGCGCUAUACGGUUGACCGAUGGCUGAUUAACUAGUUGGUGGGGUAAAGGCCUACUCAGGCGACGAUCAAUAGCUGGUCUGACAGGACGACCAACCACACUGGGACUGAGACACAGCCCAUACUCAUACGGGAGGCAGCAGUGGGGAAUUUUGGACGAUGGGCGAAAGCCUGAUCCAUCCAUGCCGCGUGUGUGAAGAAGGACUUCGGGUUGUAUAGCACUUUUGUCCGGAAAGAAAUCCUUGACUCUAAUACAUACGGGGGAUGACGGUACCGGAAGAAUAAGCACCGGCUAACUACGUGCCAGCAGCCGCGGUAAUACGUAGGGUGCGAGCGUUAAUCGGAAUUACUGGGCGUAAAGCGUGCGCAGGCGGUUUGCUAAGACCGAUGUGAAAUCCCCGGGCUCAACCUGGGAACUGCAUUGGUGACUGGCAGGCUAGAGUAUGGCAGAGGGGGGUAGAAUUCCUCGUGUAGCAGUGAAAUGCGUAGAGAUGUGGAGGAAUACCGAUGGCGAAGGCAGCCCCCUGGGCGAAUACUGACGCUCAUGCACGAAAGCGUGCGGAGCAAACAGGAUUAAAUACCCUGGUAGUCCACGCCCUACACGAUGUCAACUAGUUGUUGGGGAUUCAUUUCCUUACUAACCUAGCUAACCCGUGAAGUUGACCGCCUGGGGAGUACAGUCGCGAGAUUAAGACUCAAAUGAAUUGACUGGGACCCGCACAACCGGUGGAUGAUGUGGAUUGAUUCAAUGCACGCGAAAAACCUACCUACCUUGACAUGGCCGGAAUGCUGCUGAUAGGCGGGAGUGCUCUACAAAAACAGACGCAAAGGGCUGCUUGAUGGUCGUCGACUCCUGUCGUGAGAAGUGGGUGAGUUCCCCAACAAGGGCAACCCUUGUCUUCAUUGCUACGAAGAACCGUCUAGGAAACUGACGAGCACAACCUGAAGAACGGGGGGAAGAGGUGAAUCCUUCCGGCCCUUAUGGGUAGGGUUCCGUG
rnacentral:rRNA from 1 species